UCUUUUUCCCUUAAACUUUACCAAAAUUACCUAUUCCCUCCCAGUUCUUUUUCUCUACAAAUCGAACUACUUAAUUUUUUGAGAUAAGCUCUCUUAACCACUCACGCCUGCUGCCCAACUCGCCGCUGCCCAAGUUAUCUCUAUCUCUCUGUCGCCGGCAACCAUAACUAGUUUCCCAGCCUUUCUCCGCCUACAUGCCCCCGAAAUCAUCAACUGAAGCCAACUCUAGUAGACUGAAUUGUGGUCGACGAAGGAGAAAACUAGUAAUGAAGCACAUGUAACUGAAGAAGAAGAACAAGAUGAUGAUCAAACAAUAGAUUGGUGGCUCCCAAUAAUCUCUUAAAGGAUGAAAGAAUUUCAGUUAUGCCUAUAACUCGUUGGAGUAUCAACCGAAAAGAAUUGCCAAAUGCGGAUGAGGAUAACAAGCUUCUUCUUAGAAGGGCAAGAAUAUUAAAGCAGUUAUGGAAUAUUUAUGGAGGAAAGAAAUGCAUAGCACUGAAAAUUGGGCAAUCGUGAGCGAAAUCUCAGCAGGAGGAUUGACUACAAUAUUGAUCUAUUGGACAUGUUCAUUUUCUAGGAAAAGAGAUCAUGAGCUGAAGCCUUUAGUUCUAUGCGCCUGAUAAAUAUGAAGUCUCUUGUCGCUCCACAAGUAAUUGAGUCCAAGAUUAAGGUCGUACAGUGCUAUGUCCAAAAAUUUAGUUUGUGGAAGAUAUCAUACGAUGAAGAGUUGUAGAAAUUGUGAGGGUUAUGCAUUUAUCAUUUUUUUUAUUGUGGGUGUUCGAUAUGAUUAGUUAUAACGACACUAGUUAUUUACUUCAAACCAAUGUAAUUUUAUCUUUUAUGUCGUUGAUACAUUAAUAUUAUGGAUUAGUAAUUGUUUUUGUUAGUGUAGAUUUAAUGAAAUAUGUUGAGUUUUUAUAAUUCA